rnacentral:lncRNA from 1 species
AAGUUUCUAGCUUUUGUAGAUAUCACUUCUGUGAUUAGGACGGUCAACAAGCCGAACAUGAGCUAAGUCACGAACAACAAGUUAAAUUAUUAGUCCUAAUAUUAGAUAAAAAGUUUAAGUGUAUAUCUGUAUAGCUAUAUCGCUCGGUAAGGUUUCGAGCUGAAAGAUUUAGCUGGUGUUUGGCUUAUUUUUUUUAUUUAAACGAGUGAUGAAUUCGACCUAAUUUUGAGCCGAUAUUCUGAUGUUGAGGGUAUAUUAAUCUUAUAGAAUUCAAAAAUUUGAGAUUAAAUUGGAUUAAAAUUUUAAGUUUUAUAGCAU